CCACAGUUAGUUUAAAUAGAAAUGAAUUCUGAGUUAAUCAGAUAUUCAUAUUUUCUAUGCUAACAUUUUGGUAUAUUAAAAAUUUUUUCAGCCCUAAUUUAUUAAAAGAAGAAUAGGAGCAAGACAAAAUUAUGCUUCUUUUCAUAAAAUCAUAUAUAUUUUUAUAUACAAAAAAUAUGAAAUUAUUAAUUUCAUAUCAUGAAUAAUGUGUACAUCGAUAUUGAUGUAUGCACAAAUGCAUUGAAAUAGAGUAAAAUGUAUUUUAAAAUGAUAAUAUUUGAAAAUAGGCCAAACAAAGAAGAAAUAUCGUUCUUACAUAAAAUAUUAAAAAAAAUAUGUAUUAGAGAACGAAGAUUCUUUUUCAUAAUACGUAAGUAACAUGCGCAUGUGCAUUGCAAAUAUAAAUUAUAGUUAUUUUAUUAAUAAUAAUUGAUGAUAAUGCUAAAAAUGAAAACUAAUUUUGCAUAAUGCAGUUAAGUGUGCUGUUUUCGUAUUAUGAUAUUUUCAAAUAUAUAUAGAAAAUAUCAUAUUCUCAUAUAUAUAUAAUAAAUUUUAUUAUAUAUAUGUAAAAAAGAAUUAUAUU
rnacentral:misc_RNA from 1 species